CACUUUUUAAAUUCUCAACUGAAAUAUUUUCAUGUGUAAUCCUAAACCCAUCAAAUAUGUUGUUUACAGAGAGAUGCAAGCGAGUGAUCUUGAAGGCCCCCUUCCAUCUAGUCUCUCUGCCUUGAAUAAUAUGACAGAUCUAAGGAUUAGUGACUUAAGCGGUGAGAGUUCAGCUUUUCCAAACUUAUCAAGCAUGACGGGCAUUAAUAAAUUGAUGUUAAGGAGCUGCAAUAUAACCGGAGAAAUGCCUGAAUAUAUCUCUACCUUGACAAGUCUGACU